rnacentral:pre_miRNA from 1 species
UCACACUUGUACUUCUUAGCAUGUGGUACAGGGAUGCUCAGCAGUGCAAGUGUGACA